GCAGUGGUGGUUCAGUGGUAGAAUUCUUGUCUUCCAUGCAGGAGACCCAGGUUUGAUUCCUGGCCAAUGCA
rnacentral:tRNA from 2 species